rnacentral:lncRNA from 1 species
UGUCCCUCCCUUUUGGUGUCCCUCUAAUGGCUAUAAAAAAGCCUGGGUGCUAGGUGUCCGAUGCAUUCAAAUCAAGUUUUCAUUUUCCUCUCCAUUGCUCUCCUUUCUUUCUUACGAUCCAUCUUAGUUUUAGGACAAGGCUUUGGAAUUUAAGACAAAGCCUUAUCUGGUCCUAACAAGGGUUGGAAAGAUCCUAAAGAAGGAGAAUCAAAAGUUCAGAGAAGGUUCUAAGAGGGUCGAGUCAAAUUUUUAGAGAAAUCUGACCGAUACAGGGCUAAUCUAGUUCUAGGGCCUAGAACUCUUGAAGCAAGGUG